AUCGAUCUGACGAGUCGCAAACAGGACGAAACAUAAGUCCUAGAU
rfam:Schistosoma mattheei strain Denwood, Zambia genome assembly, scaffold: SMTD_scaffold0020586